AACACUUAGAGGAUAGCUGAGUAGAGAAGCAAAAACUUCAAACCUUUUCUGUCCAACCUAACAACUGAGAGGAAACCAGGAAAACCACCUGCUGAUACACUUGGGCAAUCCUGUGAGUGUAGAACUAAGUGUGCGAGUAAGAGAGGAAUCUUGGCCAGCUUCAUUGCCAACUAAACAAAAGCAAGAAAAGUACUGCAAGGGAAACGGGAGAAGUGGAGCGAGGACCUGGAGGAACUGAAGCGGGAAGCUAGGACAGUCUGUUGCUAUUGGACUUUAGUGAAGAAAAGGGGUAAGAACCUGAAAUAAUUUCUUGUCUAUUCAGUAACUGGAUGAAUGCAUGAGCUGCAUGUGAAUUUAACAAACAAAAUAAGUUUUUAGCUAAAAUAAGAAUCUGUUUGAAAAGAAUGAAACUGUCGGACAGAUGAAGUAAGAAAAUCUGAUGCAUGCUAUCAUGCGUCAGGUUUCGUAACUAAGGACAGAAUAGGUUCUGAAUCUGUGUAGUCCUCGAAUCUUAGUCUCACGUUUUGUUAAGAACACCCUGUAACCGAAUAGAUAUCCCUAGCAUGCUUAGCUAGAACAUAAAUUGAAAAGGAAACUAUGCAGAAACGUCAAAUGAUAAGCUGCUGCCACUGCUGGAAAAUUAUGGUUGCAGUCAAGGGAAGGAAUUAGGAGUCAGUGCAGGUUCUUCAAGGAAUCUGGUUCCUCCUUGUUUCCAGUUUGCAACCGAGAGAGUGAGGGAGAGAGUUGAAAACUUGCUAACUUUAUUUCCCCAGAUUGUAAUCUCAAACCAUGAGCUAAAAAAAAAAUGAGAGACUGGUGCAGGCUGCUAUGCACCAAAUGUAGCAGGCUUGCGCAGACUUGUAAUUUUAUUUAGUUUUCCUCGAGAGUUUUGGUCAAGAACUACCCUGUCUAGCUAAGGAUAACCUGCAACAAAUUAAGUAUCUACCACACGAGUGAUGGAGACCAAAAACUGAGGAGGAAAAAGGUAAGAAAAUGUUGACUGAUAGGCUACGGUUCUGUUGGAAAUUUAGUGACUGCAACCGAAAGAGAAAAGAAAGAAACUUUGGCUGUCCUCUACAAACUUUAGCUCCUAAACCUGUGUAGUAAAUGUAGAAUGUCAUGCAGACCGUAAACUGCAACAAGCAAGACCAAAGCCAGUAGAAAACUGAUGUGAACAAAUGGAAGACUCCUGCUGAAAAUUCUGGCAACGACUCUGAGGCAGAAAAUGGAGAGAAUCCAGCUGAAAUCUAUCAACCAAGACUCUGAAAAAUUUAGUGCUAAUCUGUACUAUAUGUACGGCCUUGCAUUUGAAUGUGUACCAACUGGGAUUUACCAUUAGUUGGAGAUCGAAUAUACUGUCAUGUUGUUAGGAUUAGGCACUGAUAAUAUAUGUUGAUUGAUUUGAUUCAGUCAAGUAAAAGACGAAAUAUUAAUAGAAUCCAUGAAGUAUAUUGCUAAAACUUGGGCGGUUAACUAAAAUGAUGGUUAGUUAAGUAUCUAUGAUAUUUUUGGAACUUUAAUCUUAGAAUCUUGAGUGGAUAAUGGUUUAAUCCUAAAACUUGGAAAACACAUAUAUUUCUUGGUUUAAAAUGAUAAAAUCAAUAAGUCUCGAAAUGAAAUGUAGAAUAAAUAUUGAGUAUGUUAUAUUAGUAUUUUAAGGUCAAACUUGAUUUUAAUAGUUUAAAUAAUAAGGUAAGAAUAAUAAAUGAUCAUCUACAAAUUAUGUAUUUACUUUGAAAUUAUUAACCUGUCUCAAGAAGUAGCCUUGAACCAGGAAACAAACUCGAGACUCGAGAGUAGCUCAUUUGAAUCUUUGGUGAGUGUUGCCGAAUUUAUGUGCUUAAUUAUUUAUGUUUCCUUAAGUGAAAUUAUGUGAUAAAUGUACUUAUUAUGAAUAUUGCAAGUGAUUCCUUGUGGUGUGUAUAUCAAUUGUCCCUCGCCUUCUAAGUUGGGGCGUACUUUAUCGUACUAGGCUUAGUUGAGUUUGAAGGUUGAUAAUUGAUUAAGGGUUUGUUUGGUUGGAAGUAAAAUGUUUUUCUUGGGAAAAUAUUUUCCGUCGAAGUAAUUUUCCAUGAAAAUCAUUUCCCUUUCAUCAUUUUCAGGUGUUUGGUUAGCUUAUUGAAAAUAUUUUCUUACUUCAUUUUUCUAGUGUUUGUUUAACUUUUGAAAUAUUUUCACUUUUAUCUCUAUCUUUACUUUCUACACAUUAUAACUACAUACUUCUUCCCAUGCAAAAUAAGAAAAUUUAUCUCAUUGUUUAACUUUAAAAAUUCUUGGAGAAAUGUAUAUAUGAAUAAAAAAUAUCUCCUUAAGCAAUAAAUAAAUUGCUGGCCAUUUAGUAUCAAAUAUCAAUCACAUGCAAUGCUUAUUGUGACAUAUAUCUUGCACUCUCACUGCUGAAAGUUUUUCUAGAAAAGAAUGUCGCUAUUAUACAUAAUUAAUUACUAGCAUAGGAUGAGCAAGAUGAGGUUUUUUUUUUAUUUUGAAUAUACUAGGGGAAGGGUUGGGUGGUACGGGGGAGGGAGUGUAAGGAAGAAGUCUUGGGUUCGAAUCCUCCUGUUUACACUAAAAAAAAAAAAGAACAUACUACAAGAUGUUUUCAGUAAGUUUGGAACAUACUACAAGCGGGAUGCAUGCAUUUCGGAAAACAACUUCAGUAAGUUUGGAAGGGAAGUUGUUUUCCAUAAGAUGAGUGAAAAUAUUUUACAUAGGAAAAUGUUUUCAGUAACUUUUGUGCAACCAAACACGGGAAAUUAGGAAAAUAUUUUCCUGGAAAACAUUUUCACCCGAAACAAACGGACCCUAAAUGUUACUGUAAGUGUGCAUGAUUGUAAGUCGUAUGUGUACUUUACCGCAUCGGCUGAACUGAGCCCCAAAACCCUUUGUUCAACAGACUAUUCGAGCCAGCAAAAGGGUUUCGUCGGAUAGGACGGAAGCUCUGGGUAACUGUUUCGGUAUACUCGAGUAUUACCCUGGAGUUGGGAGAUUACUGAACCGAUUAUUGAAUGUAGGGGAUUGUUUACCGUUUUUGGAGGAUAUAAGGUGACGAAUUGGUGGUGCUGGCAAUGAUAUCAAGAUGAAUGUCUCAUGACACUAAAAUGAUUGUACAUUGUUAUUAAAAUGGCUUCCAGGAGGAGUUCGUAUCCUUUCGAAAAUGAUUGUACAGUGAAAAGUUGCACUACUUGUUUAAUUGUCUUGAUUUAAGUGUUUGAUAACUGUUACUUACUCGGCAAGCCUCACUGAGCUUUAACUCAACCAUUUAGUUUGUUUUUCUUACAGGAAUUAGAGGUCAGGGAUCGAACAAGGGAACUUAGGGAGUUAACGUGAAGACUUUUGCAUUGUGAAUAGUAUCUUAUUAAGGUAGAAGUUUUUGUAUUGAUCCAGGUAUUGUAAAAAGAUGUGAAUGCUUGGUUUUGGGUUUAUAAAAAUGUUAUCUCUGAAAUUAAUAUAAGAUUAAUGGAAGUUAUCAAAAUGUUAUCUCUGAAGUUAACGUGAAAUUAGUGAGCCCUGGCGAGAGCCAGGCAGGCGAUCCGCAUACUUUUAGGGUACGCCCUAGAAGGAGUGGGACCGUCACAAGGAGAAUAUUGAUUAAGGAAUGGAGGAGAUGUCACCGCAGUUGGAGAUUGUUCAUCGGAUUUAUUCACUUGAACAAUUUGAUAUUGGGGUUUCAUUUCUUGCACUUCAAUUCCCGCUUCAACUAAAUCUUUAGAUCCUUCUUCUUGAGACUCUUGCAGUUUCAUGUCAUUUAUCAAGACAAUUGCACUCUCAUCUUCUUUAAGGUCGACGUUGGUCUGUGAGGACAAUUCUUCAUAAAUUAGAGAAAUCAAUUUGCUCAUUGUAGAUGUCAAUUCACGCCUUCCAUCUUCCAUCCUUUUAAUUAUCCUUUGUGUGUGCUGUUGAAAAUGAUAUGUGUUUGUAGCUAGUAAUUCAAUUAUUUCUUCAAGAAACAUACCUGACAUGGGUGAUGGUUGUUGAGACUCUUGCUGUUGAAAACUUAUUGGCCUUUGUUCAUAAUUAAGAUUAGAAUCAUCCCACCAUCCUUGAUCAUAGGAUCAUAUCAUGUUUGAUAUUGAGGUGAAAAAUCUGAACUAAAAAAGAAACAAAUUAAUCGGGCACCAGUCCCCGACAACGGCGCCAAAAAUUGACAAUUGUCGAGUCUAUGCAAUAAUAAAUACUUACACGAGAAAAAUACAAAUUUUGUAUAUAGUGAUGAGUAGGGUUGAAUCCACAGGGACUGGAGAUAAUUCGUUUCUUCCAAAGUCCGAAAUAUGGGGGUUUUUUGGAGAGUAUAAAAUAACUAAUUAACUAACUAAUGAAACAACUAAUAGAAAUAAAUAGAAAUUAAUCAAUAACCAAUAAGGCUCUAGUCAAAGGUGCAACUUUUUAAACAUGGUCCAUUCAACUGAUGUUUGAAAAUAAGUAAAAUAAUUCGAUCUCACAGAUGUUUGGAACCGAGUCUUCAAGUUGACCUUCGACUAGAAAAGAAGAUUUGUGAGAACCCGAAAAUUUUCUUAUUUUCUAGCCAUUAUUUUAAUUCCAUUCAUACAUUUUCUAUACUUUCCUUUAUUAUAUUAAUUUUCUAGCUAUUUUUAUAAGGGAAUUAAGUUUUCAAAACAUUUUCCGGUAUAAGUUAGUUCAUGUGACAUUAGUAGUGUAUAAUGUACGUGGGACCCGCUAGUGCUUUAAGUGCGAUAAGUUUUGACGACUAGGUUAAGUUUUGUAUAAUGGGAUUAUUUUACAAUGUACUAGGAAAUAAUUAGAGGUUAGGUAGAUAGAUUAACCAUUGGGAAACAAGAGGAUAGGAUUAAACCUUAAAGGCGCCACAUGUCGCGGUACCAUUUGAAAUUGGACUUUGACUAACCUUUCUUACCUUUACUAAACACCAAUUUUGACCAAGCUUUCCUCACUUUUCACCCCUUCUUGGCCAAAACUUAGAGAGAAGACUUCAUCUUGUAUCUUCAAUUUCUUACUUCAAUCUUGUGUUUCAACCAACCAAAUUGCAAACUACUCUAUAAAAGUUGCUCACUAAGGAGAUUCCAAGGUGUUGGUAAAGUGAUUUUGGAAGGGAAAGCACCAAGCUUCUAUCUUUCUUGGAAGAAUAAGGUAAUCUUGGCUAGAAUCUUCCCUCUACUUCAAUUAAUUGUCAAUUAGUGGUUUAGAGUUGUGAGUUUUGUAGUUUUAUGGGAAACUUUCAUGGAGAAAGUGGUGACUUGGGAAAUUUCAGAUUUUUGGUGAAUUUUCUGGUCUUAAUUGAUGCUUGAGCAAUUGCCAUGGAAUGAUAGUUUUGUUAUGUGUAAAAUGAAGCUUUUAUAUGCUAGUUUUGGUUGCUUACGAAAAAUUCCAUCUUGUGUGGCAAAAUUUCAGUUUUAGGGUUUCAAUUCGGGGCUUUAUUGUGGUUGGUUUUGGAGCUAUCAAGUGGCUCAAAUUGAAGGGUAUUGUGGCCCUAGUUAGGUGUGUUUUAUAACUUAUGUUUGUGUGUGCAAUUGUGGUUGAUUUGAGUUGAGAUUGGUGAUGGAUUGUAGGAUGGAAAGUAAAGGAAUUUAAGGGGAAAUGCUGUCCAAAUUUUGGGGCAACUUGAUUCCUUCAAAUUUGGCUUCAUUUUUCACUUUGAUCUGUAUCAAAUCAGCAUUUGGUCAAUAACACAAAAAUUUUAGUUUUAUGUUUCAGCUUUCCAACGCAUCUGAAAACGCCUCAAUUGGACUUUUGUAGCCUGAGUUAUUGCCAUUUGAAUCCAGUACUGACUACCAGACUGACAAUGAAAUUCUGGUUCUGUAAUCUACAAAUUCGACCGGGAUCAACUGUGAACUGGGUUGACUUUUCUUCAUAAAUGUUGUAACCCUUUGUCUUAGUUUCGAAACGCUACCUAGUACACCUUGAUCCAAUAACCACAACUCCAGUUAUGGUCGAAACCGUGCAACCCGUUUUCAUACCAUUUUUCGUCGCGCGCACCGUUUUCAUUUCCCCGCGCGCGCAUGCAUUUUUUGCCGUGUUGACCGUUUUAGUCCUUAUUUCUAUUAUGAUAGUUGUUUGACUAAUAAUCAAGUAUAAUCUUUUAUCACAGGCAGUGACGAUCCGGACGGAGUCGGUUAACCCGUAUAAAUUGUCUUGAUUUACGUGCUAGUUAUUUUGGGUGAGUAAUUGGGUUUGUUUAUGUAAUAAAUUGUCAAAAUAAUUUGUAUAUGUUAAAUGGGUACUUAGGCGAGGGUGUAAUUUAUCUCACUUGGCCUAAACCCAUUCUCUGUUCUUGAUUUAAUAUGUAAGAAUACAUGCCUUGUGUUGAGUAUCACCCCUUGUGCUGUGUGCUGUUGGGGUGAUUACAUGACUUGAGUAUUUUGAUGAGUACUUUGUUGAGAGACGUCCUUUGUUGAGAGAUUGGAUAUCUCAUGGCUUGGUUCCAACCCGGUUCCAAGGGUAGACGGACUAUUCGAGUCGGACGGGGCUUGGUCGAAGUCAGUUCUUUGCUAAUUUUAGGAUUUUGUUCUUUGUUAAAGCAAAGUGAUUUUACUUUUACUCGAGCUACUGUGUGCUGAUGACUGGCCAGCGGAGGUUGAUAAGCGGAGGUUGAUAAGGUGAACGGGGAAAGUAAGUGGACUCUACAAACCAUGAGUAUUUUGGUUGACGAAGUGUCAACAGGUGUUCAAACUCGGGGAACUUGUAUCCUACUAUUGUGAUGUUACAAUUCUAUUUUUGAUGUGAAAUAUCUUGGUUUACAUAUAUAUUUGGAUAUGAUUUUACGCUUUUACCCCGAUUACGUACUAAGCAUAUAACUUAUCCCAUUCCAUUUGUUUUCUUUAGCAGGGGCCGACGCGGGGAUCGCUCGGGAAGGUAUAUGAUACGAAUCUCGUUGGUGAGGAGAUUCGCGACCCAAGAUCGGUUGUUGGAUUUGACGUCGGAUGCAAGAAACGGUGGCAGCGGAAACCCUACGACCCCUCUAAUCCCCGUGACUACGAACUUGUUGAUACUAUCUCAACCCGUAAUCAAACGAAUUAGUGAACCUCAGGCAAGUGUAGAAGGCGCCACAAUUCAAGUGUGGUUCUUGAAUUGAUAAGCCAAACAAGAACACUAGAGUAAAACUCUAAGUUGUUCAAGGGUUGCUCGAAAGCUAUGGAGAAAAUUCUCACACUCAGUUUUUAUGAUAAAAGUGUCUCCCCCUAUUGAUGUAAUGUGGUGCCUUAUAUAGGCUACAAGUAGAAAACCUAAUCUAGUAAGGAAAAGGAACUAACUAAUGGCUCACCAAUCACAAUCACAAUUAAGGCUAACUAAUGGUCAGCUUCUAAAGCUGGCCCAGCAUAACCCAAUAAAA
rnacentral:lncRNA from 1 species